UAAGAAAUUAAACUUCUUCUCAGAGCACACAGAGUUCCUUUUGCACCUUACUGGCUGUCUCAAAAUCCAAAAUAAAAGGAGAAGUUGAAAAGARGAAAUUUAGCGUUCGGCGGCAGGCUCGUGCUCGAGCGGUGGAAGUCCUGUAUUUCUACAGGACAAACAAGUGCUCGCUCUGUUGGAUAACACCAUGACUAGUUGUAAUAGUCACUGUGAGUGACACAUUCUGGAGCGAUGGUUGUAAGCUCACAAGACGAAGAGGCAAAGAGUUCUCAUGGAAUUUUUCGAUGGUGACCCAUGGCAGAGGAGUAUGUGACAGUACCCCUGAACUGCCCUGAGGAACACCAGGUAAAAAGGUAAAGCAGCCUUUGGCAACCACCUCCACUCUUGAAAUCACAUAGACCAUUUCAGUAAUUCGCUUUAUUUGCUCUUUGUUUCURCAUUUCCAAUAGGAUUUCAGCC